rnacentral:rRNA from 1 species
UACAGGGGGUGCGAGCGUUGGCCGGAAUCACUGGGCGUAAAGGGCGCGUAGGCGGCUUUGCAAGCGUGCGGUGAAAGCUCGGGGCUUAACUCCGAGUCUGCCGUGCGAACUGUGAGGCUUGAGUCUGGUAGAGGUCGAUGGAAUUCCGGGUGUAGCGGUGGAAUGCGUAGAGAUCCGGAAGAACACCGGUGGCGAAGGCGGUCGACUGGGCCAGUACUGACGCUGAGGCGCGACAGCGUGGGGAGCAAACAGG